ACCUAUCUCUCUUGAUUUCCUAUGUGACUACGUACCUGAUGACAAUUCCAACAUUGAAGAUGAAAUUUUGGGGAAGGAUGAAGAUUAAGGAGAUUGGCUUGAGAGAUGGAUGGACUGCAGUCUUUUAGCUUUGGUUAACUUGAGAAAUGAAGAUCAAAUGGAUGACUGCAGUCUUUUUAUGUUAUUGGCAACAUCGUUUUCUUUUAACUUUCGUUUCAUCAGACUUUGGUUAUCUUUUAGAAUUAAGACUUUGGCUAACUUGUUUGUGAACUUCAA